rnacentral:sRNA from 1 species
AAAAAAAAAAAAUAGAAACCAUCAGACUAGAACUUCUGAACUUCCUACUACCAAAGAAACAAUCUGUCGUUGUUUAAUAAAUUGUUUUUGAUUGAAUUAUUCUUUUUUUCCUUACUUUGUUUUCUUUUUUUUACUAUUUUUCACUGAAUUAUUCUAACAAAUACUGUCUACUUUAGAAACUAAGAACUUGGAGGAUGAAGAGAAAAACAAUCCUGUGGAAGAAUGGGAUUCUGAAAUGAGAGCUGCAGAAAAAGAAUUGGAACAGCUGAAAACUGAAGAAGAGGAGCUUCAAAGAAAUCUCUUAGAACUGGAGGUACAAAAAGAGCAGACCCUUGCUCAAAUAGACUUUAUGCAAAAACAAAGAAAUAGAACUGAAGAGCUACUGGAUCAGUUGAGCUUGUCUGAGUGGGAUGUCGUUGAGUGGAGUGAUGAUCAAGCUGUAUUCACCUUUGUUUAUGACACGAUACAACUCACCAUCACCUUUGAAGAGUCAGUUGUUGGUUUCCCUUUCCUGGACAAGCGUUAUAGGAAGAUUGUUGAUGUCAAUUUUCAAUCUCUGUUAGAUG